rnacentral:lncRNA from 1 species
GGUAUAUUCCACAAGGAGGGUCCUAGUGAAGAAGAAAUUCAAGCAGCGUCUUUCAAGCUGUAUUAUGUGGGCCGAGGGUAUUCUGAUGCUGCUCAGGUGACACCUAGUAAGAAGCCGGACAAGGAAAUUGUCACCAGGAUUGUGGGACCUGAAAUUGGAUAUGGAAAUUGUCACCAGGAUUGUGGGACCUGAAAUUGGAUAUGUGACUACUCCUAUAGUGCUCAUUCAGGCGGCCUUGGUCAUGUUGGACGAACGGAGAAGGCUUCCAAAGGGAGGGGUUCUCACACCAGGGGUAGUGUUUGGUGGGACUGACUACUUGCAGCGAUUGCAACAGAACAGGAUAAGCUUUGAUGUUAUCAGUAAUAAGAAGAUCUAGAGGAAGCAACAUUCUUCACCCAGAAUCAUGAAUCUACAGACUCACAGUAAUCAAUGCUCUACCGUU